UUUCCGUAGGUGAACCUGCGGAAGGAUCAUUAGUGAAAUUAGGGUGACUCUGCAAAGAGAAUCCCGAAUCUACACUUAUUUUCAUACACCUGUGCAUUUGACCCUUUUUUUUAAUGACACUUGUGUUGAUUCAAUGUUUUGUAAUGUACAAAUCAUGUUAAAAAUGAAAGUAAAACUUUCAGCAAUGGAUCUCUUGGCUCUCGCAUCGAUGAAGAACGCAGC
rnacentral:misc_RNA from 1 species